GACGAACGCUGGCGGCGUGCUUAACACAUGCAAGUCGAACGGAAAGGCCCUGCUUUUGUGGGGUGCUCGAGUGGCGAACGGGUGAGUAACACGUGAGUAACCUGUCCUUGACUUUGGGAUAACUUCACGAAACUGGGGCUAAUACCGGAUAGGAGCUCCUGCUGCAUGGUGGGGGUUGGAAAGUUUCGGCGGUUGGGGAUGGACUCGCGGCUUAUCAGCUUGUUGGUGGGGUAGUGGCUUACAAAGGCUUUGACGGGUAGCCGGCCUGAGAGGGUGACCGGCCACAAUGGGACUGCGAUACGGCCCAGACGCGUACGGGAGGCAGCAGUGGGGAAUAUUGCACAAUGGGCGGAAGCCUGAUGCAGCAACGCCGCGUGCGGGAUGACGGCCUUCGGGUUGUAAACCGAUGUCGCAUGUGACGAAGCGUGAGUGACGGUAAUGGGUAAAGAAGCACCGGCUAACUACGUG
rnacentral:rRNA from 1 species